UUAUGUCCAUUCUAUCUUGAGGAGCUUCCAUGGAGCAUGCUAUUCCAGUCUUGAUCAUGGAAAUUAGACUUUCACUUCUGUUAUCAAUUCUUGCUGAUUGGGUUGAACCUUGCUCAUCAUUUGCUCUAGCUUCAUCUUCUUGUAGAAGAAUUGGAUCUACAAUCUCUAACACUUGAUCAGGAAAUGCCAUUUUGCAAAAGUUAUGAAGGUUAUGACCUUCCCCAAAAUUGUCAUUGGUGGGCUUCUUUCUUGUCAUCAUCUCCAGCAAUAGGAUCCCAAAACUAUAGACAUCUCCACUAGUUGACACCUCACUUCCUAAACCAUAUUCUGG
rnacentral:misc_RNA from 1 species